UUUUAUAGAUAACAAUGAGCUACAUAAACGGCAGCCCAAAUUACCACGGUAAUGCGUAUUUUAAUCGAUGUUCACUGCCACAGCCUCAAAAAUGUGAAACGAUAAGAUCUUCAUAUUCUAGUCUAUCAAGCACAAAUCCAUUUGAAAGCGAAAUUGAAUCAGAUAUUAAUAAUAUUAACGGUUCUCCACUCAAUCUACGCACUAAAACAUAUCGGAAAAAAAGGAAAGCUCCAUCAGCUCCAACUAAAACUAUGAUCACAGAGCAACAAACAAAUACCGUAGAAGAAAAGCCAAUCGACUCAGUUCACAAUAUUGAAGAUAUUAAAUCACUUGCAAGUGCAAUAGAAAGAUUUGUAAAUCAUAGUAAUGAAACUUCAAAUAAUCAAUUACCAAUACUUGAAGGAACCAAGGAUCUCGAAAACCGGCCUUCCAUACCAGUAGAAAAAAGUUUAUUAAUUAACGAAAAUAUCAAUAGAACUGUGCCUCAAAAACAUGGCAUUGCGAGCGAAGGGAAUACUAAAACAAUUACUGCACCAAAAAGAAGAAAUUUAUCUGUAAGAUCUAGCUUAUUUAAAAAUUCAAACAUUUCUAGUCAAGAACAGUUUUUAGAUG